rnacentral:lncRNA from 1 species
GGUGGCAACAUGAAAAAAGCAAGAAGCAAGGAAAAUUUGAAGUAAAAGUUGAGGGUUAGGGAUUAAGAGGAAAUAGGGAUUGGAAAAGGAAAAAGAAAUGGGGAUAUUGGGAUUGGAAUUUGGAAAGGGAUGUGGGGAACAAGGGUAAAAAUCUGGGGUUAAUAAAAUUGCGUUGGGCCGGGCUGAGCUCGUGCUAAAAAAUCCUUGCCCG